GGGAAUAAAGAAUGUAAGAGGAGGCAAUGCAAUCUCUUCUUUCUCGUUGAUGGGGAUAGAGAGAGGGGCUAUCUGAGUUGAUUACAUGUAAAUAAGCCUUAGGAUUUUUUUUUCUUUAAGGACCAUCUGGAAGAGGCAGCUGUACUGCAUCUUCACUAAAGCUAGAAGAGGAAGUAGUGGGCUUAAGCUUCCACACAGGGAUUUGGGUUAAAUAUAAGAAAAUAUUUCCUUACAAGAAGAUUUGUAAACAUUGGUACUGGGUAAAGAAGGAGGUGGCGUAAUCACAUUCCCUGGAGGACUUUACCACAGAAGAGAUUGCUGUCAAAUUAAGAUGAUUUUCUGUGCGUGCCUACAAGAAGCAGAAAACUGUGAAUCUGAAAUCAAUUUAUCAACCCUCUGAAAGGCCGAAGAUAUUCCACGUCUAUUUUUCAGUUACAGUGCAAAGAAUGGGCACCCAUGGAACCAGGACAUCUCUGCAUUAAUAAGGACCUGAAAGACACUUAGCUGAAACACCCAUUUUACAGAGGACAGAAAUGUGGCGUAGAAAAUGGGCUCUACUCCAGGGGAGCCACCCACCUUCUGACACUCUGAGUACAAGAAUGUGCUAUGUCUACUUCAUCUUGGGACUCCUCAGCAGAAUGUGACCAAACCCUAGUACCAGGGGGCCCUCCUUGAAAACUACACAGUUGUCAUGUGUUUAAAGCUGGAUGAAUCCACUCACUUAUAACAAAAGGAGAUCUGAAAUUGUUGACUAUUUCUUCUGACAUCUGUGACUGGAGUUCUAGGGGUGAUGCUGACGUGUGGGCAUUUGGAGAAGGCAGGCCUGGGUGUGGUGGUGUGGAAGCAGGAGGUCUGGGGCACUGAGGUGGAGGAGGGCCUGGGAAAGAGAACUCUAGGAGCAAGGAGAGAAGUUCCAGAGGGAGGUAAACGACCGCCAAAAAUAACCCUUCCACUUAGAAGACGUGCCUGGGGAAAUGUUACUGAAAAUUCCUUUUGCAAUGGAUCUUAGGUAGUUAAUUUAUUUUUCCACCGAUAUUUUAAUAUACAGUUGCUGUGAUUUUUUUAAAUUCCACUAUUAAACUUACAUUUUAAUUUGAUCUGCCCAAAAUAAAGUUGUGAUCC
rnacentral:lncRNA from 1 species